rnacentral:rRNA from 1 species
CUAGCUGGUCUGAGAGGAUGACCAGCCACACUGGAACUGAGACACGGUCCAGACUCCUACGGGAGGCAGCAGUGGGGAAUAUUGCACAAUGGGCGCAAGCCUGAUGCAGCCAUGCCGCGUGUAUGAAGAAGGCCUUCGGGUUGUAAAGUACUUUCAGCGGGGAGGAAGGGAGUAAAGUUAAUACCUUUGCUCAUUGACGUUACCCGCAGAAGAAGCACCGGCUAACUCCGUGCCAGCAGCCGCGGUAAUACGGAGGGUGCAAGCGUUAAUCGGAAUUACUGGGCGUAAAGCGCACGCAGGCGGUUUGUUAAGUCAGAUGUGAAAUCCCCGGGCUCAACCUGGGAACUGCAUCUGAUACUGGCAAGCUUGAGUCUCGUAGAGGGGGGUAGAAUUCCAGGUGUAGCGGUGAAAUGCGUAGAGAUCUGGAGGAAUACCGGUGGCGAAGGCGGCCCCCU